UAGACAGAUGCCCGCUGGUUUGAGCGCUUAGCUGUUAACUAAGAGUUUGUGGGAUCGAGGCCUCCUGUCUAG
rnacentral:tRNA from 1 species